rnacentral:rRNA from 1 species
AACGAACGCUGGCGGCAGGCCUAACACAUGCAAGUCGAACGCUCGUAGCAAUACGAGAGUGGCAGACGGGUGAGUAACACGUGGGAACCUUCCCUAUGGUUCGGAAUAGCCCAGGGAAACUUGGGGUAAUACCGGAUAAGCCCUUACGGGGAAAGAUUUAUCGCCAUUGGAUGGGCCCGCGUCGGAUUAGCUAGUUGGUGGGGUAACGGCUCACCAAGGCGACGAUCCGUAGCUGGUCUGAGAGGAUGAUCAGCCACACUGGGACUGAGACACGGCCCAGACUCCUACGGGAGGCAGCAGUGGGGAAUAUUGGACAAUGGGCGCAAGCCUGAUCCAGCCAUGCCGCGUGAGUGACGAAGGCCUUAGGGUUGUAAAGCUCUUUUGGCGGGGAAGAUAAUGACGGUACCCGCAGAAUAAGCUCCGGCUAACUUCGCGCCAGCCGCCGCCGUAAAAC